rnacentral:rRNA from 1 species
UACGGAGGACGCGAGCGUUAUCCGGAUUUAUUGGGUUUAAAGGGUGCGCAGGCGGCGUGUCAAGUCAGCGGUAAAAUGUCGGGGCUCAACCCCGGCCGGCCGUUGAAACUGGCGUGCUCGAGUUGGAGAGAAGUAUGCGGAAUUCGUGGUGUAGCGGUGAAAUGCAUAGAUAUCACGAAGAACCCCGAUUGCGAAGGCAGCAUACCGGCUCCACACUGACGCUGAGGCACGAAAGCGUGGGUAUCGAACAGG